UGCAGAGGUCCCGAGCGUUGUUCGGAUUCACUGGGCGUAAAGGGUGCGUAGGUGGCGUGGUAAGUUUGAUGUGAAAGCUCAGGGCUUAACCCUGAAAUGGCAUUGAAUACUACUGUGCUGGAGGUUUGGAGGGGGGACUGGAAUUCUUGGUGUAGCAGUGAAAUGCGUAGAUAUCAAGAGGAACACCAGUGGCGAAGGCGAGUCCCUGGACAACACCUGACACUGAGGCACGAAAGCUAGGGGAGCAAACAGG
rnacentral:rRNA from 1 species